GUAAGUGGGAUGCUACAGUGUUUCACACUACAGGUGCAUAAUAUUUCUUGCUGACAUGCAAAUUCUAUAUUCUAUAGACAAAGCUUUCUUGUAAAACUAUGGGGCCUCUUAGAGGUAUAGCAAGAGGAUUUAAAGGGGCCUUACAGAUUUAUAGAAGCCUAAUAAUUCUACAACAGUCCCCCCUUAAAAUGUUAUUUGCUAAAAGACAAAACUUCAUUUGUUAGUAUCAGAAGAUGUGUUAGCCCAAAGACACAGAAACCCCAUGACCGCUGACUUAGUGUUAAUGCAAAGUGCAAGUCUAUCCCUCUCUUGACCCUAACAGGCUGCAGCACAUCCGUCAGUACGGUUCAGGAACACUCUUCACUCCGCUGGUAACCCAUAGUGGCUUAUCCACUACUUCUCCGUACGGCAGUCUACCCAUAAAGACGGACGCUGUCCCUGUACUGUCCCUUCCUGGACUUUCUGUACUUCAUCAGCAUACGGGAGAGUUUGUAGCGGAAUACAGGGUGAUGUGAGGUCUUGGUCACCAAUCUCUAGAUGGGCGAAGGUUGGUGUUGCUUGGUCUACAGUUUUCUGCAGGAAUUUCCUUAGGCAUGGGAGGACACAACAAAUGAGAAGAGCGAGAAUAAAAAGAAAAAUUAGUAAGGCAAUACCAAUCUGGACUAAAGCUCUCUGCCAACCAGUCAUCCAACCAAACCAUUUUUCCCAGGGAUCAGUAACUCCAGAGUUUCUCUUUAACUCUUCUGAGAGUCUAUUUAAUUUAUCUAUGGCCAGAGUGACUUUACCAUUAGGACCUGUGUUUUCUGGGAUAUAAGUGCAACAAGUCAUGGUGUCAGGUAGUAUUUUACAUACACCCCCCUUUUCAGCUAGAAUCAUGUCUAAGGCCAUUCUGUUCUGGAAGGUCAUCUGGGAUGUGGCCUGCAACUGCUCGGCCAGGCCCUGGAGGGCAUCCCUGGUGUAGUUGACAAAACGCUGUUGGUUGUAAUAAAUGUAGUUAAUCCAAUUAAGGUUUUUGUUGGCAGUGACUAUGGUAAAAGGUGGUUCAAAACCUACAGCGACUUCAUCUCUAGCUUUAAAUUCAUUAGGCACCCCCCUAGGUACCCCAACGGCAUCUAUGUAAAUGUGGGGGUCAAAACUGCCUUUUACUGGGGUUUCGCGCUUCACUCUGGCUGGUGUAUGUGGAGGGUCGUAUGUGUCAUGAUGAUUAUCAGAAAUAAUAUGAAUGGGCAUGAUAACUUUGGCUAGGGUACACUCACCCCACCACUCAGUUUCCAGCCUAGAUCUUAACUGUAGAUCCCCACAUAACCAGUAAAUAUCCCCCAAUGACCUGGUAUGGUGUUGCAACAGGCGUAUAGGAACAGUUCUGUAGGUGGCACAAUAGCCAUUGGAAAAGUUACCCAUGAAUUUACCAAUCCCGUCAUAAAUAGCAUAACAAGU